rnacentral:hammerhead_ribozyme from 1 species
GUACUGCUGAGGAGUCCCAUACUCGGACGAAACGGCCGUCCAGUGC